rnacentral:misc_RNA from 1 species
GAUGAAGAACGUAGCGAAAUGCGAUAAGUAAUGUGAAUUGCAGAAUUCAGUGAACCAUCGAAUCUUUGAACGCACAUUGCGCCCGCCAGUAUUCUGGCGGGCAUGCCUGUUCGAGCGUCAUUUCAACCAUCAAGCCCCCGGCUUGUGUUGGGGACCUGCGGCUGCCGCAGGCCCUGAAAAGCAGUGGCGGGCUCGCUGUCACACCGAGCGUAGUAGCAUACAUCUCGCUCUGGGCGUGCUGCGGGUUCCGGCCGUUAAACCACCUUCAUAACCCAAGGUUGACCUCGGAUCAGGUAGGAAGACCCGCUGAACUUAAGCAUAUCAAUAAGCGGAGGA